rnacentral:lncRNA from 1 species
AAACAUUUUAAGUCAGAAUGUUAAUGUGUUGGUUUCCAGUGAGAAUCAGCUUUCAGAUGGUCAGUAAUUUGCUUCAGUGACCCAGGAAAAUAUAUGGGGAAGCUGACUGCUGCCAUCUGUACUCUUCAGAUUGAGGACAGGACAAAAGAG